AUUGAACGCUGGCGGCAGGCUUAACACAUGCAAGUCGAGCGGGGGAAGGUAGCUUGCUACCGGACCUAGCGGCGGACGGGUGAGUAAUGCUUAGGAAUCUGCCUAUUAGUGGGGGACAACAUCUCGAAAGGGAUGCUAAUACCGCAUACGUCCUACGGGAGAAAGCAGGGGAUCUUCGGACCUUGCGCUAAUAGAUGAGCCUAAGUCGGAUUAGCUAGUUGGUGGGGUAAAGGGCUACCAAGGCGACGAUCUGUAGCGGGUCUGAGAGGAUGAUCCGCCACACUGGGACGGAGACACGGCCCAGACUCCUACGGGAGGCAGCAGUGGGGAAUAUUGGACAAUGGGGGGAACCCUGAUCCAGCCAUGCCGCGUGUGUGAAGAAGGCCUUAUGGUUGUAAAGCACUUUAAGCGAGGAGGAGGCUACUUUAGUUAAUACCUAGAGAUAGUGGACGUUACUCGCAGAAUAAGCACCGGCUAACUCUGUGCCAGCCGCCGCAGUAA
rnacentral:rRNA from 1 species